GGUUAAGUUAGAAAGGGCGCACGGUGGAUGCCUUGGCACUAGGAGCCGAAGAAGGACGGGACUAACACCGAUAUGCUUUGGGGAGCUGUACGUAAGCGUUGAUCCAGAGAUUUCCGAAUGGGGGAACCCACUAUCUUUAGUCGGAUAGUAUCCUUACGUGAAUACAUAGCGUGAGGAAGGCAGACCCAGGGAACUGAAACAUCUAAGUACCUGGAGGAAGAGAAAGAAAAAUCGAUUUCCUGAGUAGCGGCGAGCGAAACGGAAAGAGCCCAAACCAAGAAGCUUGCUUCUUGGGGUUGUAGGACACUCUAUACGGAGUUACAAAAGAAAGUUAUAAAUGAAGCGGUCUGGAAAGGCCCGCCAAAGACGGUAACAGCCCGGUAGUUGAAAUGGCUUUCCCUCCAGAGUGGAUCCUGAGUACGGCGGAACACGUGAAAUUCCGUCGGAAUCCGGGAGGACCAUCUCCCAAGGCUAAAUACUCCCUAGUGACCGAUAGUGAACCAGUACCGUGAGGGAAAGGUGAAAAGCACCCCGGAAGGGGAGUGAAACAGUUCCUGAAACCGUGUGCCUACAAGUAGUUAGAGCCCGUUAAUGGGUGAUAGCGUGCCUUUUGUAGAAUGAACCGGCGAGUUACGAUUUGUUGCAAGGUUAAGCGGAAAAAGCGGAGCCGUAGCGAAAGCGAGUCUGAAUAGGGCGCAUAAGUAACAGGUCGUAGACCCGAAACCAGGUGAUCUACCCAUGUCCAGGAUGAAGGUAAGGUAAUACUUACUGGAGGUCCGAACCCACGCACGUUGAAAAGUGCGGGGAUGAGGUGUGGGUAGCGGAGAAAUUCCAAUCGAACUUGGAGAUAGCUGGUUCUCUCCGAAAUAGCUUUAGGGCUAGCCUCGAGGUAAAGAGUCAUGGAGGUAGAGCACUGUUUGGACUAGGGGCCCUUCUCGGGUUACCGAAUUCAGAUAAACUCCGAAUGCCAUGUACUUAUACUCGGGAGUCAGACUGCGAGUGAUAAGAUCCGUAGUCGAAAGGGAAACAGCCCAGACCACCAGUUAAGGUCCCCAAAUAUAUGUUAAGUGGAAAAGGAUGUGGGGUUGCUUAGACAACCAGGAUGUUGGCUUAGAAGCAGCCACCAUUGAAAGAGUGCGUAAUAGCUCACUGGUCGAGUGACCCCGCGCCGAAAAUGUACCGGGGCUAAACAUAUUACCGAAACUGUGGAUGAACCUCUUCGGAGGUUCGUGGUAGGAGAGCGUUCUAAGGGCGGUGAAGUCAGACCGGAAGGACUGGUGGAGCGCUUAGAAGUGAGAAUGCCGGUAUGAGUAGCGAAAGAAGGGUGAGAAUCCCUUCCACCGAAUAUCUAAGGUUUCCUGAGGAAGGCUCGUCCGCUCAGGGUUAGUCGGGACCUAAGCCGAGGCCGAUAGGCGUAGGCGAUGGACAACAGGUAGAGAUUCCUGUACCAGUGCUAAUUGUUUAACCGAUGGGGUGA
rnacentral:rRNA from 1 species